CCUACGGGAGGCAGCAGUGAGGAAUAUUGGUCAAUGGGCUUACGCCUGAACCAGCCAAGUCGCGUGAGGGAAGACUGCCCUAUGGGUUGUAAACCUCUUUUGUCAGGGAGCAACGCCGGCUACGUGUAGCCGGACUGAGGGUACCUGAAGAAAAAGCAUCGGCUACCUCCGUCCCAGCAGCCGCGUUAAUACGGAGGUUGCGAGCGUUAUCGGGAUUUAUGGGGUUAAAAGGUGGCGGAGGCGGCAUGCCAGGUCAGCGGUAAAAUCGCGGGGCUCAACCUAGAAUUGCCGUUGAAACUGGCCGUCUUGAGUGGGCGAGAGGUAUGCGGAAUGCGUGGGGUAGCGGUGAAAUGCAUAGAUAUCACGCAGAACUCCGAUUGCGAAGGCAGCAUACCGGCGCCCAACUGACGCUGAAGCACGAAAGCGUGGGUAUCGAACAGGAUUAGAUACCCGUGUAGUC
rnacentral:rRNA from 1 species